rnacentral:rRNA from 1 species
AUUGAACGCUGGCGGCAGGCUUAACACAUGCAAGUCGAACGAGUGGCGGACGGGUGAGUAAUGCAUGGGAAUCUGGCUGAUGGAGGGGGAUAACUACGGGAAACUGUAGCUAAUACCGCGUACCAUAGGAUGAGCCCAAGUGGGAUUAGGUAGUUGGUGAGGUAAAGGCUCACCAAGCCGACGAUCCCUAGCUGGUCUGAGAGGAUGACCAGCCACACUGGGACUGAGACACGGCCCAGACUCCUACGGGAGGCAGCAGUGGGGAAUAUUGCGCAAUGGGCGCAAGCCUGAUGCAGCCAUGCCGCGUGUAUGAAGAAGGCCUUCGGGUUGUAAAGUACUUUCGGUAGGGAGGCGUUACCGACAGAAGAAGCACCGGCUAACUCCGUGCCAGCAGCCGCGGUAAUUC